rnacentral:rRNA from 1 species
GAUGAACGCUGGCGGCGUGCCUAAUACAUGCAAGUCGAGCGAACAGACGAGGAGCUUGCUCCUCUGACGUUAGCGGCGGACGGGUGAGUAACACGUGGAUAACCUACCAAUAAGACUGGGAUAACUUCGGGAAACCGGAGCUAAUACCGGAUAAUAUAUUGAACCGCAUGGUUCAAUAGUGAAAGACGGUUUUGCUGUCACUUAUAGAUGGAUCCGCGCCGCAUUAGCUAGUUGGUAAGGUAACGGCUUACCAAGGCAACGAUGCGUAGCCGACCUGAGAGGGUGAUCGGCCACACUGGAACUGAGACACGGUCCAGACUCCUACGGGAGGCAGCAGUAGGGAAUCUUCCGCAAAGGGCGAAAGCUUGACGGAGCAACGCCGCGUGAGUGAUGAAGGUCUUCGGAUCGUAAAACUCUGUUAUUAGGGAAGAACAAAUGUGUAAGUAACUAUGCACGUCUUGACGGUACCUAAUCAGAAAGCCACGGCUAACUACGUG